AGUCUGAGGUCUGGAAUCCUUCUAAGAAUCUAACAAAAGGAUAAAACUGUCUUGCUGGAAAAUACACAUUGCCCAGAACUCGUGGUAACUCAGAGAACAUCAAACACCCUACACCCUGGCCUGCCAUUUAAAGCAGCAUCUUUAGAGGAAGAAAAAAGACAAAGCACAGAAGAUGUUAACUUUGUAUAAGGCACUUUGAAAGUCAGAGCUAGAAUCCUCAUCUGCUUCGGGAAAUGACGUGAAGAAGUCUUUGGAGCUACAAGUGAAAACGCAGUGACCGUCAUGUGCCGGUAUGAUGGGCACUGAAAGCGCCGAUUGCGCAACCAGCAGCGUAGUCUGACUGACUUGCUUCGUCUCCCUGCAGCCUGUCCUUCCUUCCCGUAUUCUCCCACUCGGCAAGUAUCUGCUGAGUGUUUCGUCUGUUACAGGCCCGUUCUAAGGGCCAGAAACACACAGUGAGCCCAACAGUAGGUUCUCUGCCCCGUGAGCUUGCAUUCUGAUUGGGAGUGAUAGACAAUAAAUACGGAACUGUGGGCGGAGAAGGCAACGGCACC